rnacentral:rRNA from 1 species
GACGAACGCUGGCGGCGUGCCUAAUACAUGCAAGUCGAGCGCAGGAAGUCAUCCGAACCCUUCGGGGGGACGUUGACGGAAUGAGCGGCGGACGGGUGAGUAACACGUAAAGAACCUGCCCUCAGGCCUGGGAUAACCACGAGAAAUCGGGGCUAAUACCGGAUGGGUCAUCGGACCGCAUGGUCCGAGGAUGAAAGGCGCUCCGGCGUCGCCUGGGGAUGGCUUUGCGGUGCAUUAGCUAGUUGGUGGGGUAAUGGCCCACCAAGGCGACGAUGCAUAGCCGACCUGAGAGGGUGAUCGGCCACACUGGGACUGAGACACGGCCCAGACUCCUACGGGAGGCAGCAGUAGGGAAUCUUCCACAAUGGACGAAAGUCUGAUGGAGCAACGCCGCGUGAACGAUGAAGGCCCUCGGGUCGUAAAGUUCUGUUGUAAGGGAAGAACAAGUGCCGCAGGCAAUGGCGGCACCUUGACGGUACCUUGCGAGAAAGCCACGGCUAACUACGUG